UUAAGUGUAAUAUAUAUAUAGCUUAAUAUAGUAAUCAAAAUACAGUGUAAUAUCAAUAAUUUGAGGUUAUCAAGCCGGUCAAAUAUUUUUAAUAAAAAAUGCUGGUAUGUGGUCUGAGGCAAUACGUAUUUGGAGAGAGUACUUACCAAGUCAAGAAGCAGCUUUACGUCGUGAGUUAACACAAAAAAGCAUUGGAAAUGAUAGCACACAAACUCUGAAAGAAGCUGGAUGUUGGUUAAAAAUACCGCUUCACAAGUUGCUACAGAAUUAAGAUGGUAUAAGCAUUAUAGCUUACAAGAUCAAUACGUCAGGCAAAGAAGAAGGUUUUGGUCAGUCUAUUUUACACUACGGUCAAUUAGUAUUUCAUGCUUCUCCAUAUAGUCUUCAGGAUGUAUUUAGCUGUAUGGUAACAGCUAAAUUUAUACAUGUACUUCAAAAAGAUGUAUUUCGAGCUCUUUGUAAAUUAUCUAUGAAACCUCUACCAGAUGGAACAUCUGAUCCCAAAUCACAUGAAUUAAGAUCUAAAAUAUUAUCGUUACAAUUACUAUUAGGCAUUUUACAAAAUGCUGGACCAAUCAUACGAUAAAAUAAACUGUUUGUUAUUACAAUUAAACAAUACUUGUGUGUUGCAUUAUCUAAAAAUGGUGUAUCAUCUCUGAGAAUGAUCAGAGAUUCAACUGGACAAUAAUACGAACAGUCGUAGCAGAAGAACUACUUUAGUAGAAAUCUUUAUAGUACACUGCAAUUUUCUUUCUCUUUUUCAAUAAAAAAAAAAUUAUAUAGUGUGGAUAGUGGAAUUAAAGUUACUCUUAUCCCAGUUGUUCUAUUCAAACUGCAUGAAUAUAAGAUCUAAAUUUGUUUGACAGCCUGAUUAAUUUUGUUUUGAUAUCAAUAAUUAUAUUAUAGACCUAUACAAUUCAAUGUUUAUUAAUAUUCUGCUAUUAUACAAUUUUUAUAUA